rnacentral:rRNA from 1 species
UACGUAGGAGGCAAGCGUUGUCCGGAAUUACUGGGCGUAAAGCGCGUGUAGGUGGUGGGACAAGUCUGCUGUGAAAGCGCCUGGCUUAACCGGGCGAGGUCGGCGGAAACUGUCCGACUAGAGGACGGUAGAGGGGGGUGGAAUUCCCGGUGUAGUGGUGAAAUGCGCAGAUAUCAGGAGGAACACCGGUGGCGAAGGCGGAUCUCUGGGCCAUUACUGACGCUGAGGAGCGAAAGCGUGGGGAGCGAACAGG